GCCGCAUGCGGGAGUGCGCGGCCCCUACACCUCCUCCUCGUCAGCUGGGGCCGAGCCUUCCUUCGGGGGUCUCAGCUGUCGGAGUGCGGGAAAGUCGCCUCAAGAUGCAGCUCCGAGAGGCCGGGGCGGCGCCGGCAGCGGCUGAGGUGGCUCUCGGGCAGUUACAUCGGACUGAGGGCGAGCACCCCCAGCCGUGUGGCGUGCCUGUCACACCCAAAUUGCACUGAGUUUCCGUCUGCCGUUCCCUUGUUUGACAGCUUGUAAUGUCGUCAUCGUCAUCUGCUUCAUUGUUACCUUCACCACCACCAAGAAGGCCUGGUAGACCCGCUGUAUAUCCUCCUUCAGAAAAACAAAAAGGAGGAGAAAGAGUCUGGAGAGAAGAAGGGCUCAGUCAAGGAUACGUAUAAAAGAACAAAUAACAGUAACGCUGAAUGUGCUCUCACAUGCUGAAGCUGCCAAUUUUUUGCUGGGUUUCAGAGGUGAUGUCUGCAAAGAAUCCCAAGUGAAACAAGACACUGGUGGGAGCUCAGUGCUAAAAGCUGAAAAGGAUGUGUCAGAAACCACUUCAGCAGCGACUGCUGAAAGGCUAGCAAGCAGAAAGAUUGUCACUGUCUGUUUGCGACGAGUGCACCUACUCUGACUGCGUUAACAGUACUUCGGUUCAGGCGUCGCUGACCAAUAGGCCUGACUGAAAAGAUCCCUGUUGUGCAAACCUUCUGAACUUGUGCCAAGUCACAUCUUACCAGGAACUAAUGCUCUGAGCCAAAACCACAAUACCUGCCUGAGCUGGAAGUAGACAACUAAAAAUUGCUAUGGUUGCACACCUGUGCAUACACCAAAGGGGAGUUUGACCACAAGCCAAUCACUUUAUGGUACAAAUAUCUGCAGCCACCAGAGCCCAUUGAGCUCUCCUGCACGGCAGUGGGCUGCACAGCAGUCUCCUCUUGAGCUGGGAUGCCUUUCAAGGUUACCCCUCGAGGUGUCUGAUGUCUGCAACAAGAGAUGAUCUAGAAGAUCUAAAAGUGUAUUGUAUAUAAGCUAAUUGUUUGACAUGUAGUAAGUAGUAGGUUGUUUGACCACUGUUUAAUCAUUGUUUAAUAAAACAUUUGGUUAA